UACGGGGGGGGUAAGCGUUGUUCGGAAUUACUGGGCUAAGAAGGCUCGUAGGCGGCCAACUAAGUCGGACGUGAAAUCCCUCAGCUUAACUGGGGAACUGCGUCCGAUACUGGAUGGCUUGGAUUUGGGAGAGGGAAGCGGAAUUCCGGGUGUAGCGGUGAAAUGCGCAGAUAUCCGGAGGAACACCGGUGGCGAAGGCGGCUUCCUGGACCGACACUGACGCUGAGGCGCGAAAGCUAGGGGAGCAAACGGG
rnacentral:rRNA from 1 species